rnacentral:rRNA from 1 species
CACGUAGGGCGCGAGCGUUGUCCGGAAUUAUUGGGCGUAAAGAGCUCGUAGGCGGCCUGUUGCGUCCGCUGUGAAAGCCCGGGGCUUAACCCCGGGUCGGCAGUGGAUACGGGCAGGCUAGAGGUAGGUAGGGGAGAAUGGAAUUCCUGGUGUAGCGGUGGAAUGCGCAGAUAUCAGGAGGAACACCGAUGGCGAAGGCAGGUCUCUGGGCCAUUACUGACACUGAGAAGCGAAAGCAUGGGGAGCGAACAGG